rnacentral:rRNA from 1 species
UAGGGAAUCUUCCGCAAUGGACGCAAGUCUGACGGAGCAACGCCGCGUGAGUGAAGAAGGAUUUCGGUUCGUAAAACUCUGUUGUUAGAGAAGAACAGCGCAUAGAGUAACUGUUAUGCGUGUGACGGUAUCUAACCAGAAAGCCACGGCUAACUACGUGCCAGCAGCCGCGGUAAUACGUAGGUGGCAAGCGUUGUCCGGAUUUAUUGGGCGUAAAGCGAGCGCAGGCGGUCAAUUAAGUCGGAUGUGAAAGCCCCCGGCUCAACCGGGGAGGGUCAAUGGAAACUGGUUGACUUGAGUGCAGAAGAGGAGAGUGGAAUUCCAUGUGUAGCGGUGAAAUGCGUAGAUAUAUGGAGGAACACCAGUGGCGAAGGCGACUCUCUGGUCUGUAACUGACGCUGAGGCUCGAAAGCGUGGGUAGCAAACAGG